AUGAGAGGUGGCGGAGCAAUGGAGUCGUCGUUGCUCGGAGCAAACCCGCGUCUCCUCUGCUGCCUCUUCCUCCUGUGGGCGCUCGCCGCCGUCGCCGAGGCCAAGACGGUGCACAAGCAAUGGGACAUCAGCUACCAGUUCACGCACUCGGACUGCGUGCGCAAGCUGGCCGUCACCAUCAACGGCCGCACCCCGGGCCCCACCAUCCGCGCCGUGCAGGGCGACACCGUGGUGGUCACCGUCAAGAACCUGCUGAUGACGGAGAACGUCGCGAUCCACUGGCAUGGCAUCCGGCAGCUGGGCACGCCGUGGGCGGACGGCACGGAGGGCGUCACGCAGUGCCCCAUCCUCCCGGGCGACGCCUUCGAGUACAGGUUCGUGGUGGAUCGGCCGGGCACCUACAUGUACCACGCGCACUACGGCAUGCAGCGCUCCGCCGGGCUCAACGGCAUGAUCGUCGUCGCGGCCGCGCCGGGCAGCGCCGACGCCGAGCCGUUCGCGUACGACGGCGGCGAGCACGAGGUCCUCCUCAACGACUGGUGGCACAAGAGCACCUACGAGCAGGCCGCGGGGCUCGCCGCCGUCCCCAUCGUGUGGGUCGGCGAGCCCCAGUCGCUGCUCAUCAACGGGCGCGGCAGGUACAACUGCUCGGCCAUGGCGCCGGACGCCGCCUGCAACGCGACGCACCCCGAGUGCGCGGCGCAGGUGUUCGCCGUGGUGCCCGGCAGGACGUACCGCUUCCGCAUCGCCAGCGUCACCUCCCUCUCCGCCCUCAACUUCGAGAUCGAGGGGCACGAGAUGACGGUGGUGGAGACGGACGGGCACUACGUGAAGCCGUUCGUGGUGAAGAACCUCAACAUCUACUCGGGCGAGACCUACUCCGUGCUCAUCAAGGCCGACCAGGACCCCAACCGCAACUACUGGCUCGCCUCCAACGUGGUGAGCCGCAAGCCCGGCACGCCCACCGGCACCGCCGUGCUCAGCUACUACGGCGGCCGCAGCAGCCCGCGCGCGCCGCCGCCCACGGCGCCGCCCGCCGGCCCGGCGUGGAACGACAGCGCGUACCGCAUCCGCCAGAGCCUCGCCACGGUGGCGCACCCGGAGCACGCGCACCCGCCGCCGCCGCGCGCCGACCGGACCAUCCUCCUCCUCAACUCGCAGAACAAGAUCGACGGCCGAAUCAAGUGGGCCAUCAACAACGUCUCCUUCACGCUGCCGCACACGCCCUACCUGGUGGCCCUGAAGCACGGCCUGCUGGGCGCCUUCGACCAGUGCCCGCCGCCGGAGACGUACAACCACACGGGGUACGACGUGUACGGCGUGCAGGCGAACCCCAACGCCACCACCAGCGACGGGCUGUACCGGCUGGCGUUCGGGUCCGUGGUGGACGUGGUGCUGCAGAACGCCAACAUGCUGGCGCCCAACAACAGCGAGACCCACCCGUGGCACCUCCACGGCCACGACUUCUGGACGCUCGGGUACGGCGUGGGGCGGUUCGACCCGGCGGUGCACCCGGCCACCUACAACCUGAGGGACCCCGUGAUGAAGAACACGGUGGCGGUGCACCCCUUCGGCUGGACGGCGCUGCGGUUCCGGGCCGACAACCCCGGCGUGUGGGCCUUCCACUGCCACAUCGAGGCGCACUUCUUCAUGGGCAUGGGCGUCGCCUUCGAGGAGGGCAUCGAGCGCGUCGGCGACCUCCCGGAGGAGAUCAGGCGCUGCGUCAGCACCAAGGGCGGACACCACUAA
rnacentral:rRNA from 1 species